rnacentral:rRNA from 1 species
UACGUAGGUGGCAAGCGUUGUCCGGAAUUAUUGGGCGUAAAGCGCGCGCAGGCGGUCCUUUAAGUCUGAUGUGAAAUCCCCAGGCUCAACCUGGGAACUGCAUUUGAAACUCCCUUUCUUGAGUACCGGAGAGGAAAGUGGAAUUCCUGGUGUAGAGGUGAAAUUCGUAGAUAUCAGGAGGAACACCAGUGGCGAAGGCGGCUUUCUGGACGGUAACUGACGCUGAGACGCGAAAGCGUGGGGAGCAAACAGG